CGCGCCGCCACAUUCAGCUAAUUUUGUUAAUUUUAGUAGAGAUGGGGUUUCAUCAUGUUACCCAGGCUGGUCUUGAACUCCUGGGCUCAAGCGAUCCACCUGCCUUGGCCUCCCAAAGUGCUGGGACUGCAACGUGAGUCACCGCGCCAGCCUCACCUAUUUUAUGGCGUCUACCCCAUUCUACCUGUCCUUUUCCUGCCCCGCAGAGAGUGCACUGGGGGAGGGAGUGAAGGCAGGUGCUCCCUGAGCAGCUGGAGGAGUCAGGGUUGGGGGCCUGGGUUCACAGAGGUGGGCUGAGUUGAGUGAUGGUUAGGCCGUAGAAAGGACUGGAUUUGGCAAGUGUCUGGAUGUGGGGGGUUGGGGGUUGGGGGUUGGGAGGUGUUCAUGAGAACCCCAGCAAAGAGUGAGGGCAGGGGGAAGAGGGGAUGGGAUGCUCUCAUUUUUGGUAGCUGGAGAUGUCCAGUAGACCUGUAAGUGGGCGGGGGUUCAGCGACCCUGCCGACAGCUGUGGGAAUUUGGGGUCACUGGCGUGUGGCGCUCUCUUCUCUGAAUCUUUUUUUUUGUUGAGAUGAGUCUCACUCCGUUGCCCAGGCUGCAGUGCAGUGGCACUAUCUCAGCUCACUGCAAGCUCCGCCUCCUGGGUUCAAGCAAUUCUCCUGCCUCAGCCUCCUGAGUAGCUGGGACUACAGGCACCCACCACCACACCCGGCUAGUUUUUGUGUUUUUAGUAGUGACAGGGUUUCACCAUGUUGGCUGGGCUGGUCUCAAACUCCUGACUUCAAGUGAUCCACCCGCCUUGGCCUCCCAAAGUGCUAGGAUUACAGGCUUGAGCCACCACACCAGGCCUUCUUUUCUGAAUCUUGGCCCUGGGAAUUCCAGUUGCCUUGGCCUCCCCAGAUUCUCAACUCAAGGAGACCACGGGGCUCCCCUGGGCAGCUGGAGCAGUCUCCAGGCAGUCAGUCGGGUGUUGUGGGGUACACUUCUCAGAUUUCCCCUCUCUGAGAGAUGAUGGGCCUCCCUGGUCUGUUGUCCGGGGUCUGAGAGUCACUGUCAUCUGUUUAGCCUGUUGCUCUCGUUGUUAAAGGUGGGAGGGGAAAUCCAAUUUCUCUUCCUCCGUUCUGGCGGGAAGCAAGGGUCCCAUGAUGGACACAGGGACGGCAGCUGAAGCCAGGGAGCAAGUGAGGUCUUCCAGGAUGAGUUGGAAAAGAAGGAGUGGGGGUCAGGAUAGCUCAGGGAGCACUGUCAUUUAAGGACACACACAGGCGAAGUGGCCACAAAGGGAGACUGAGGAGGCCUGGGCAGGAGAACCAGGAGGCUGCCGGCGACCGCGCCCCAGCAAGAGCAGAGCAAGUGGCGGUGGGGAAUCUGCAGUAGCAAUCAGGGAUCCCUUGGGUGACAAGGUCUCCUGGGUGCAGGCGAGUGGCCCCAUGGGAGCACCGAUUGUGUCAGGGUACCCAGGAGGGAGGACAAGGAGCAGGGAUGGUCUGCAGAGGGGCCAGGGCUCCCCUCCAGCCCUAACAGGACCUCCGCGUCCCUCCACUUGCUGGGCCGUCCUGUGGACUGUGCGGUCCCCUGCAGAUUGUCCAGUACCGAGGGCAGCAAAAGGUUGACGCUGAGAGUGAGAGCGGGGCAGGCGGCUGGUGGUGGUGCUGUGCUGCCGCGAGGCUGUUGGAUGGGGACUGAUACCUCCGGGACCCCGCACUCCUCCCUGGCCUGGUGUGCAGCGGUCGGUAGCAGGGCCCAGCCAGUGGCCUGUGGUGGGACAGACAGGAGACCAGGGAAAGGAGUGAUGUGGUGUCACUGCAGCAGCCCAGCUCCCUUCCCUGCGCAGGGCGGGCCAGGUGUUGGUGUCAGGGGCUCUGGGUAACGGGUCAAAGCCGCCAGCAUUCCAGCCCCGAGCCCGCAACGGUAAAAACUGCGAGAUAGGGUACUUGAAGCCCGCCCCCUGCUUCCCAGGUCCUCUCACCAUUGCCUCUUCAGACCACCCGGGGGUGGCAUUCAUCCCUUCACCCUGCUCCAGGGACCCCUGUGUGGUGGGAACUGGUGGACACUUCCUUCCGGGCCCCCCAGCAGCUUGGAGCACAGGGCCGCUCCCUCCUCCACCCACUUGCUUCACUUUGCCCUCGGGGCUGCCAGGUUGUGGUUGUCUUCACUUUCGUUUCUCCUUGAGUCUCUUCUGCCCAGGCCUGUUCUCUUC
rnacentral:lncRNA from 1 species